UACGUAGGGGGGCUAGCGUUGUCCGGAAUCAUUGGGCGUAAAGCGCGUGUAGGCGGUUCGGUAAGUCCGCUGUGAAAGUCCGGGGCUCAACCCCGGAUCGGCCGUGCGGACUGGGGAGCUCGAGUUCUGUAGAGGCGGGUGGAAUUCCGGGUGUAGCGGUGGAAUGCGUAGAGAUCCGGAAGAACACCGGUGGCGAAGGCGGCCCGCUGGGCAGAGACUGACGCUGAGGAGCGAAAGCCAGGGGAGCGAACCGG
rnacentral:rRNA from 1 species